UGUCCAGCAACUCCUAUCCCUACCUCCUCGCGGUACCGGCCGGAAACUAUGAGCAACCUUAGGGAAGAUCGGGUAACCAACCCCGGGGCGAAAUUUGGUCGUAGGCUGACAAGGAAGG
rnacentral:ribozyme from 1 species